UAUUGAUGAUGUUGCCAGUCUUAAAGAAGUGCUUUGAACCUCUCCCAUGCAUGAUAUAAGUUCUUAUCUAUCUUCUGUUUAAAGACGAAAUCUCACUAUCCAGUCU
rnacentral:snoRNA from 1 species